UUGAAAGGGAAACGAUUGAAGUCAGUCGUACCUUCGGGUAAUCAGCCUUUCGGGUGCGAUUCUGUGGAGCGUGAGGAGUUAAACGCCUUCAUGCCUGCAUAUUCGUGCACUUUGGGUGUACUUGCCCGUGUGGUAGGUUAACAUCAAUUUCGGAUGUCAUAAAAUGGCUGGAGGAAUGUAGCUUCGGUCUCGUACUGAAGUGUUAUAGCCUUUGGUAGAUGUGAUGACCGGGAUUGAGGAUUGCAACGAAUACCUUUUGGGCUACCCGCCUGAUCUCUGAAAGUUGCUCUGGUGCCGAAAGCGUGCUUACGGUUAUCAAAGUUGACGUUCAAAAGGUUAGAACGGGCUAAAUUCGUUAAGGAUGUUGACGUA
rnacentral:rRNA from 1 species